UCAGUUUGAUAAACGUCAGAUCCGUGCUUUGUUUACUUUACAUCCCAUGUUCCCAUAAAUUUGAAGCAAAUCAACUCAGUGCCGUCGUUAUGUUUCGAGCAGUGUAGACACUCUGAAAGUGCUCAAGGGGCAGACACUUGGAUAUCUUAUUUAUAUGGAACUGGGAUCCCAGUGUCCGAGUGGGUGCGGCAGACGGUCAUCACCCAACGACGGUUCGGCAGAUAGCUGCCAUUUCUGAGAGAGAGAGAGAGAGAGAGAGAGAGAGAGAGAGAGAGAGAGAGAGAGAGAGAGAGAGAGAGAGAGAGAGAGAGAGAGAGAGAGAGAGAGAGAGAGAGAGAGAGAGAGAGAGAGACGCUUUCGGCGACAAAGGCCGACCGGAAGACGACAGCAACGAAGGACGUUUUGGACACCGCCAGAGGGCCGAGGGUCAGGCGAGUGUCAUCUCAUUGUGUACACACCGGUCUUACUGACAAUAACGUAGUGACGUCACCAUCUAUGUAAAGAAUGAGUGUCAUCUGUGCCGGGGUGGGAAGGACGUAUUGGACGCCACCAAAGAGUCCAGGACUAGGCGUGAGAGUUUGAUGAUUUGUUGUCGGAUGUGACAUUUUAGUCGGCCAGUGUCUUCGUGAUUGUUUGUUUUUAUUGGUACAAUUUUAUCUGGAAGUCAUUAGAAUAAACUAAUAUGCAUGCGGUUUAUACUAACAUUACUGGUUUAGUAAAUGUAGCACAUAUUAAGACAUACAAUUAAUAAAAAUAGUUACAAAUUC